rnacentral:rRNA from 1 species
UACGUAGGGUGCGAGCGUUGUCCGGAAUUACUGGGCGUAAAGAGCUCGUAGGUGGUUUGUCACGUCGUCUGUGAAAUUCCGGGGCUUAACCUCGGGCGUGCAGGCCAUACGGGCAAUACUUGAGUGCUGUAGGGGAGACUGGAAUUCCUGGUGUAGCGGUGGAAUGCGCAGAUAUCAGGAGGAACACCAAUGGCGAAGGCAGGUCUCUGGGCAGUUACUGACGCUGAGGAGCGAAAGCAUGGGUAGCGAACAGGAUUAGAUA